CCUACGGGUGGCUGCAGUAAGGGAUAUUGCUCAAUGGGGGAAACCCUGAACCAGCAACGCCGCGUGAGGGAUGAAGGUUUUCGGAUUGUAAACCUCUUUUCUCUGUGAAGAUGAUGACGGUAGCAGAGGAAUAAGCACCGGCUAACUACGUGCCAGCAGCCGCGGUAAUACGUAGGGAGCAAGCGUUGUCCGGAUUUACUGGGUGUAAAGGGUGCGUAGGCGGCUUAGCAAGUCAGUUGUGAAAUCCUAUGGCUUAACCAUAGAACUGCUAUUGAAACUGUUAUGCUUGAGUAUGGGAGAGGUAGGUGGAAUUCUUGGUGUAGGGGUAAAAUCCGUAGAGAUCAAGAGGAAUACUCAUUGCGAAGGCGACCUGCUAGAACAUAACUGACGCUGAGGCGCGAAAGCGUGGGGAGCAAACAGGAUUAGAUACCCGUGUAGUC
rnacentral:rRNA from 1 species